rnacentral:rRNA from 1 species
AUUGAACGCUGGCGGCAUGCUUUACACAUGCAAGUCGAACGGCAGCGCGGGCUUCGGCCUGGCGGCGAGUGGCGAACGGGUGAGUAAUGCAUCGGAACGUGCCCAGUAGUGGGGGAUAGCCCGGCGAAAGCCGGAUUAAUACCGCAUACGACCUGAGGGUGAAAGCGGGGGACCGAAAGGCCUCGCGCUAUUGGAGCGGCCGAUGUCGGAUUAGCUAGUUGGUGGGGUAAAGGCUUACCAAGGCGACGAUCCGUAGCUGGUCUGAGAGGACGACCAGCCACACUGGGACUGAGACACGGCCCAGACUCCUACGGGAGGCAGCAGUGGGGAAUUUUGGACAAUGGGGGCAACUCUGAUCCAGCCAUGCCGCGUGCGGGAAGAAGGCCUUCGGGUUGUAAACCGCUUUUGUUCGGGAAGAAAUCCUCUGGGCUAAUACCCCGGGGGGAUGACGGUACCGGAAGAAUAAGCACCGGCUAACUACGUG